AUUGAACGCUGGCGGCAUGCCUUACACAUGCAAGUCGAACGGCAGCAUGAUCUAGCUUGCUAGAUUGAUGGCGAGUGGCGAACGGGUGAGUAAUACAUCGGAACGUGCCCUGUAGUGGGGGAUAACUAGUCGAAAGAUUAGCUAAUACCGCAUACGACCUGAGGGUGAAAGUGGGGGACCGCAAGGCCUCAUGCUAUAGGAGCGGCCGAUGUCUGAUUAGCUAGUUGGUGAGGUAAAGGCUCACCAAGGCGACGAUCAGUAGCUGGUCUGAGAGGACGAUCAGCCACACUGGGACUGAGACACAGCCCAGACUCCUACGGGAGGCAGCAGUGGGGAAUUUUGGACAAUGGGCGAAAGCCUGAUCCAGCAAUGCCGCGUGUGUGAAGAAGGCCUUCGGGUUGUAAAGCACUUUUGUCCGGAAAGAAAUGGCUCUGGUUAAUACCUGGGGUCGAUGACGGUACCGGAAGAAUAAGGACCGGCUAACUACGUG
rnacentral:rRNA from 1 species